UUUUGUUCAAUUUUUUUU
rnacentral:sRNA from 1 species